AGUGAACGCUGGCGGUAGGCCUAACACAUGCAAGUCGAACGGCAGCACAGGAGAGCUUGCUCUCUGGGCGGCGAGUGGCGGACGGGUGAGGAAUACAUCGGAAUCUACUCUGUCGUGGGGGAUAACGUAGGGAAACUUACGCUAAUACCGCAUACGACCUACGGGUGAAAGCAGGGGACCUUCGGGCCUUGCGCGAUUGAAUGAGCCGAUGUCGGAUUAGCUAGUUGGCGGGGUAAAGGCCCACCAAGGCGACGAUCCGUAGCUGGUCUGAGAGGAUGAUCAGCCACACUGGAACUGAGACACGGUCCAGACUCCUACGGGAGGCAGCAGUGGGGAAUAUUGGACAAUGGGCGCAAGCCUGAUCCAGCCAUACCGCGUGGGUGAAGAAGGCCUUCGGGUUGUAAAGCCCUUUUGUUGGGAAAGAAAUCCAGCUGGCUAAUACCCGGUUGGGAUGACGGUACCCAAAGAACAAGCACCGGCUAACUUCGUGCCAGCCGCCGCGGUAA
rnacentral:rRNA from 1 species